UCGGUGAACCCAGGCUUGGACAGAGAUCACCAGCAGGGAACAAGGGGUUCUGAAGUCGUGUGAAACUGUUGCUCGGUGUCUGUUAGCAGUGUCUGAGGGAAACCGUCUCUUCUUGACCUCUUUGUUACCUUUGCCCUCUGGUCUUCCUUCUCUCUCUCAUCAAAUCUUAGAAUAAAGCAGGCACCAUCCUAGGAAGAUGUGGAGGAUGAGAAGUUUAGAGACAAGUCAACCAUGCUAAGGUGUAUCCUGCUGUUUUUCGGGAAAAAGAGCUGAGCCGAUUCUCAGACCGUGGUGUCAGACCCUCCUCUCAUGGAAGGAGAAACAGACUUCGGCCGUCACAGAAAGAAGUCUUCAGAAAGUCCCCCUCAGAAAGCCUGUGAUGAGAAGAUGUGAGGGACUUGGCAGUCUUACUGGGGAAGCAAGAUAAUUGAUCUGAGUUUGUUAGGACAUUGCAACUUGUUACAAGUGAGAAACUGGACACACCCACAGAAAGAAUAGAGCAAGAGGAGACAAGGCACCUUCCCAGAAGAGUAACAAUCCAAAGUUUACACUUCCAGUGAAAUGCUGCCUGAGAAGUGCUGGAUAUAAAAAGGCGACUCGAGUGCCUCUGUGAUGACACACCAAUUGCUGCAGCUCCACAGACACCGUAGAGGCUGGCAGACCUCCGGAUAUAGUCCGAGAGGAGAGAGAGAGGCGCCUCUGGUUGACCAUGACCUCCCAACCCAAUGUCCAAGCUUUUCCUUCACCUACAUAGUCUCCAGCAAAAAGGAGCAGUGGAUUUCAACUCCCAAGCUGUUAACAGCACCAUG